rnacentral:sRNA from 1 species
AAUGAAUAAAUAAAUAAAUCGACCAACAAAACCAAGAAUAACUAACAAUCCUAACCGGGUUCCAAUAACCAAAACACAAAAAUAAAACAAACGAGUUCAUAGAUCAUCCUCUCUUCUUUGCCAUGAUUCCACGAUCAUACUUUAUCUUUACCUUCAUCAACAAUACAAUAAAAUGCGUAAGUAUUAUCAUAAAUACUUAAUGAGGCGAUCCUCCCAUCUACGAGCUGUACACACAAGCAAAUAAAAGGGUAUAAACACAAAUACAACACAAACACACUAGUCAUUGAACAAUUCACCCAAAAACACAUUCACCGCACAUAUAUAUUAUCACACAAAAUAAAUCAUACAACCCAAUCGCUCAGAUAAGCUCAUGGUCAUGCACUUACCUUAACAAAUUGAUUCUAACAAUAAAUAAACUCAGGAGAGACUCUCCUUGCCUCUGAAACAGUCCAGAAACGUCCUACAACAAGUCACAACCAAAAGCAACCUUGAAGCAAACUGGACAUGAAAAACAGAAACAAACAACCUCAAAGACGAAACUCUAAAAUACAGACCAACGGUU